UAUGUCAAACUUUCACAAGGGAGCAUGGUAUCUAGUUGUUCUUUUCGUAUUUUCCAUGACAAUCAUGCUUUCAUGGCACUAUGGCACCAUGAAGAAGUAUGAGUUUGAUUUACAGAAUAAGGUGUCCAUGGAAUGGAUUACAGUGAUGAGCCCUGGUCUUGGGGUCUCCAGGGUCCCUGGAAUUGGCUUCAUCUACACUGAUAUUGUGUCAGGAAUCCCAGCUUUUUUCUCCCACUUCAUUACAAAUCUUCCUGCAUAUCACCAAGUGCUGAUCUUUGUGUCAUUCAAGUCCUUACCAGUGCCUUGUGUCCCCCAAAAGCAGAGGUAUCUCAUAGGGAGGCUUGGCGCCAAGGACUAUAAAGUUUACCGAUGUAUUGUAAGAUAUGGAUACUGUGAUAACAUCAGGGACACAGAUGAUUUUGAGGAUCAGAUUAUCCGUUGUAUUGGAGAAUUCAUUGCUUUGGAAGAAAAUGAUUUGGAAUCCUUGACCUCCCCAGAAGGAAGAAUGAUUGUUGUUGGAAACCCAAUGCUGGAUGGAAAUGCCUUGGUUCCCAUCCCUGAA
rnacentral:lncRNA from 1 species